rnacentral:rRNA from 1 species
AGAGUUUGAUCCUGGCUCAGAGUGAACGCUGGCGGCGUGCCUAAUACAUGCAAGUCGAACGGAGAUUAAGUAGCUUGCUAUUUAAUCUUAGUGGCGCACGGGUGAGUAAUAUAUAGCUAAUCUGCCCUACACUAGAGGACAACAGUUGGAAACGACUGCUAAUACUCUAUACUCCUUCUAAGCAUAAGCUUAGUCGGGAAAGUUAAUAAAAUUUGCUUUUUGGUUUCAUCUUGAGAGAUAUGGACGUAUAACAACUAAAUUGAUACGCCGAUGUGGCAAACAUCGGUGUGCUUUAGGUGGGUCAAGGGAGCGCUUGCGCUUCUUGUCGCAAAGAAAGGCUUUGCCUUUCUGCGAAGUCCGUAUUUGUCAAGAUGAAAUCUUGCAAAUGUAUUUUUUCGGUGUAGGAUGAGGCUAUAUCGUAUCAGCUAGUUGGUGAGGUAAUGGCUCACCAAGGCUAUGACGCGUAACUGGUCUGAGAGGAUGAUCAGUCACACUGGAACUGAGACACGGUCCAGACUCCUACGGGAGGCAGCAGUAGGGAAUAUUGCUCAAUGGGGGAAACCCUGAAGCAGCAACGCCGCGUGGAGGAUGACACUUUUCGGAGCGUAAACUCCUUUUCUUGGGAAAGAAUUAUGACGGUACCCAAGGAAUAAGCACCGGCUAACUCCGUGCCAGCAGCCGCGGUAAUACGGAGGGUGCAAGCGUUACUCGGAAUCACUGGGCGUAAAGGACGCGUAGGCGGAUUAUCAAGUCUCUUGUGAAAUCUAACGGCUUAACCGUUAAACUGCUUGGGAAACUGAUAAUCUAGAGUAAGGGAGAGGCAGAUGGAAUUCUUGGUGUAGGGGUAAAAUCCGUAGAGAUCAAGAAGAAUACCCAUUGCGAAAGCGAUCUGCUGGAACUUAACUGACGCUAAUGCGUGAAAGCGUGGGGAGCAAACAGGAUUAGAUACCCUGGUAGUCCACGCCCUAAACGAUGUAUACUAGUUGUUGCUUCGCUAGUCGAGGCAGUAAUGCACCUAACGGAUUAAGUAUACCGCCUGGGGAGUACGGUCGCAAGAUUAAAACUCAAAGGAAUAGACGGGGACCCGCACAAGCGGUGGAGCAUGUGGUUUAAUUCGAAGAUACGCGAAGAACCUUACCCGGACUUGAUAUCUAACAAAUCAUCCAGAGAUGGAAGAGUGUCUGCUUGCAGAAAUGUUAAGACAGGUGCUGCACGGCUGUCGUCAGCUCGUGUCGUGAGAUGUUGGGUUAAGUCCCGCAACGAGCGCAACCCACGUCAUUAGUUGCUAACGGUUCGGCCGAGCACUCUAAUGAGACUGCCUUCGUAAGGAGGAGGAAGGUGUGGACGACGUCAAGUCAUCAUGGCCCUUAUGUCCGGGGCGACACACGUGCUACAAUGGCGUAUACAAUGAGACGCAAUAUCGCGAGAUGGAGCAAAUCUAUAAAAUACGUCCCAGUUCGGAUUGGAGUCUGCAACUCGACUCCAUGAAGCCGGAAUCGCUAGUAAUCGUAGAUCAGCCAUGCUACGGUGAAUACGUUCCCGGGUCUUGUACUCACCGCCCGUCACACCAUGGGAGUUGAUUUCACUCGAAGCCCAAAUACCAAACCGGUUAUGGUCCACAGUGGAAUCAGCGACUGGGGUGAAGUCGUAACAAGGUAACCGUAGGAGAACCUGCGGUUG